UUGAUCAGAUGUAAACUGUCAAACAUUUUUAUCAUUAUGUUUAAAGGAUAUAACGUGUAUGACACUGUGUAACUAUGGGAAAGUUGGAAGAAACAGAACCCACCGUAGAGGUGGAACACCACAAACUUGAGAUGAAACGCUCAAUAUCGUUAUUUCAUGUCAUUUCUAUAUUGUGCUCAGUUACUGGUCAUGUUUCUGUUUUCGUAGCACCUGCAGCUAUUUUAAGUUACACGGGAUCUAUAGCAUUGUCGUUGAUAUUGUGGGUUUUCGGUGGAAUUAUGAAUCUAUUUCUAGCAUUAUGCUUCACAGAAUUAGGGACUAUGUUUCCUAAAAGUGGGGGAGCAUAUGCAUACAUCCUUCAAGUAUUCGGUCCCCUGCCUGGAUUUCUUACAGCAUGGGGCUACCUAACCCUGAUCUCAGGUCCACACUGGGCUUUUUGUGCAUACAGUGCAUCUCUGUAUGCAAUGAAGCCAUUUUAUCUUGAUUGCAAGCCACCUGAUGCUGCAAUAAGACUGCUUGCGAUUUGGAUAUUGGUGACUUUUGUUGCCAUCAACUGCAGCUAUGUCAAGUUUGUGACAAAGGCCCAAAGUGUGUUGACAGUGACAAAACUCCUGGCUUUGUUGUUAAUAAUUGUGUGUGGUUUAAUCAGUUUUGUCAAAGAUGGUGCUGAGAACUUGUCAGAUCCUUGGGAAGGCACAGAAAGCAGGCCAUUUGUGAUUGCAAUGUCUUUAUUCUUUUCAGUAUUUACUUACGGAGGAUGGCAGAUUGUUACAAAUUUAAUGGAAGAAGUAAAAAAUCCAGGAAGAGACUUACCGAAGGCUGUGUAUAUAAGCAUGUUUAUCAUCACUGCUGAGUUCACCCUCACAAAUGUUGCAUACUACAUAGUAAUUGAUAAAUACGACGUCCUGCAGUCGACCACAGUUGCAAUGCUUUUCUUUGAGCGUUUUUAUCCACCCUUGAUGCCUGUUAUAUCGGCUUUAGUGGCCAUUACGGCCAUCGGAGUGUUAAACUGCUCCAUCCUUGGACAUUCCAGGGUCCUUUUUGCCGCUUCAAGAAAUGAGCAAGCUCCUGUGAUGUUUUCAAUGAUCAACACAAAGUUUCUAACACCGUGGCCAGCAAUAUUUCUUUUGACCCUAUGGUCAAUUGUGAUGCUGGUGUCCGGUGCCUUGUUUACGAUGAUGGAGUUGGUCAGUCUGUUCUCAAUCAUUCUCAGCUUUUCUGUUGUUGUUACGCAGCUUUACCUUAGAUGGAAGCAACCGCAUGCUGAAAGGCCUUACAAAACAUUUCUUUUCAUUCCAAUUUCCCAAUUCGCAUUGAUCAUCGUCGUGUUUUUCUUGUGUAUCUACCAAGAACCUUUAAAACUUGGCCGUGGCCUGGCCAUCUUAGCGGCUGGUCUUCCUGCAUAUUGGUUUGGUGUUUUAUGGAGGAAAAAGCCAAAAGUUUAUCACAGAUUCAUGAGAUGGGUCCGGAUGAUCACUGCUUCAAGGCUUGGUCAGGAUUGUCACUGUUUCUAGGCUUGGUCUGGAUGAUCACUGCUUCUACGCUGGGUCAGGAUGAUUACUGUUUCUAGCCUGGGUCCGGAUGAUCACUGCUUCUAAGCUGGGUCUAGAGUAUAUUACUGUAGGAUUACAAAAGCUGCUUUCUGUUGGAAAGGCGGCAUGAUGUAUCUCCAGUUCCAACAUCAACAUAUAUGGUUGUAGUUCCGACCCUAUGAAAUGAAGUCCGUUAUGCUGAACUGUUCACAGUGUGUUUAUUGUAUAAUAUCUGAAUGUAUGACCAUUCUUGGAAAUCAUUCUUAUUUUUAAGAUAGUUUUAGAACAGUAAGCGUAUUUAUUUUUCUAUCUAUUUUGCUUUUUAAUAUCCUACACUGUUAUAUGUAUUUUACAACUGAUGCUGAAUGUGUUUUUCUAGCGGCUUCAUGUUGAUUUUGUAUCUGGUGUAAUUUACUUCCUAAGUAUUACAUGUGACCCUUAUACAUUUUGUAUCUGAUUUUGUAUCUGACGUGUUGUUUGCCGUUUUUUUUAUAUCUUAAACGCGCACGUGCUAAUUUAAGUCAUUCAACAUUCUAUUGCAAAUGCAUAACAAUUAUAUGAAGGUAUACGAUGUAUAAAUGAGCUUUUUAUUUUUAUGGUAAUAAGGUUACAUUUUUAUGCCUGAUGUCCUCAUAUAUUGAUACAUUUGUUUUUAAUUUUGCUUUUGACUUCAACUAAAAUAACCCAUUUUCAAUCUUUCCAGGUCAAAAAAGCAUAUUAUUUCUCUACUCAUUUUAUCUUUAAAGUGAAAUCAAAAUAAUAAGCUAAACGACUAUCACAUUGUAUACCCAUUUUUUGAAAAUUGUCUAUGACGCAUAUAUAUAUAUGCGAUGUAUUUAUAUAGUGUAGGACUUGUUUUCAAAAUCACAUAAAUUUUAUCGAUCAAUUAUUGGUAUGUAUUUUGAUAUUGUUAUGUAUUAAAUGAGUGCUUGUUGAAUACCAUGACAAUGCCUGGUAUCGCUCUUUCUAUUUUUAUUUUAACCACCCAUUUUCAGUUAAAUAUAAAUCGAUACAUUCACAUCUAUAUUAAAUACACCUUAAUUUUGAGUGAUAAACCUUUAACUAUUUACAAAAUAAUGCAUUUAUGGAAAAUUUUAAAUUCUGAAAACAAGAUUGUUACCGUGUAACUAAUAGCUGAAAACGCAAAAAUAUUAACUGAUUGGUGAAUGCUAAAAUAUAUACAGUGAUCAACUAUUGUCUCAUAAGGUAGAUAUACCAUGUUUUCUGCACCUUUCUUUCAAAUUGAACUCAGUAUCCCUCAUAAGAACCAUUGUUUUCGACAUUUAUUUAUCCUUUUUGGUAUAUUUAAACAAUUGUAUUAAUUGUGGUUAAUCUUAUUUGGGAGGAAUAGUGCAUCCUUAAGGCUAACCAUAGGUGUUUGCGUCUAUCGUUUGCGAGUUGGUUCCCUGCUUGCUGUGUAUGCGUUAAGAUGCAACAAGGAUACACUAUAACACAGUAGUGUCGGCGCCUAUUCUGUAGGUAGGGUCGGGUAACCCAUAGCAAAUGUAUUUUUAUAGGCCUUAAAAUUGGAAAAAGGGCUUAUAAUUUAAUUGAGCUGAGAACUUAUGCACCGGUCAAUUGUAACCACGGGGAUUUUACCUUUUCUUUUUUCUUUCCAGACAAGUGUUCACCGAAACUCGAGUGUACCAUUAUAUUCUACAUAUAAAUAGUGUUCAAAUGCCGUUGUUAUAUUAACUUGAUCAACAAAAGUCAAAUAAAUGGUAACCUUAUAGCGUCCACUGGGCGCCGCCAUUAUUGGCCUUUGCCUGACGUACUGUAUGAAAUAUCAGUAAGCAAGGAACCAGACUAAAACGCAUCCUGCACUAAAGAAUUCGCGGGGGAGCACGCGUAUGUGUUUCAUUUCUGUACUUUCAACUCUAGCAUUGACUGUGUUAAUGAGUGCACGGUACAAGAAGUGUAUUACUAAUAUAAUAUAUGUAUUAGGUUUAUCAGUGAAAGCAUGUGAUCUGCGUGUUUAUUUUCCUUUUGCUUUGUUUUGUAGUGUUAUUGAGCUUUAACGUUUAUCAUGCGACGAGACCGAUAACUAGUAAGCUCGCUUUUUAAAAUAGUCACUGCUUAGUAAUGGCCCUUGAAUUGGCAAACUAUCUCGCUUAAAUACAUUUAGUUCCUAUUAGUUAAACUUAGUGAUUAAAGAAUGGGUUUACUUUCACGGAUGAGUUGAUUUACCAGCCUCUGACUCGUGAAAUUCAUUAAAUUGAUUUAUUUCAUCAAAGUUCAAUAUUAGUUCAUUGACCGUACCUUGAAACGCAUUACUCGCAUUUGUCAGCUAUUUGGCAAAAAUGAAUACAAUUUCAUGGUUAUGUCAAUGUUAUGUUAGUAAUACUAGUAGUACUCCACUGAGUUUUUUACUCUAGUUUCAAUAUAUAAGUCUGACGUAGAAUUAUUGUUUUAUGUUACAGGGACAUUUAACCGAUGUGUUAAUUUCGUUUUUUGUUGUUGUUUUUUGUUUUUGUUUUUGUUUUAAACUAAAACCAUGGUUUAAUAUAUAUAAAACAUGAUAUCAGUCAGAACAAAUAAACGCA